rnacentral:rRNA from 1 species
AGAUUGAACGCUGGCGGCAGGCCUAACACAUGCAAGUCGAGCGGUAGAGAGGUGCUUGCACCUCUUGAGAGCGGCGGACGGGUGAGUAAUGCCUAGGAAUCUGCCUAGUGGUGGGGGAUAACGUUCGGAAACGGACGCUAAUACCGCAUACGUCCUACGGGAGAAAGCGGGGGACCUUCGGGCCUCGCGCCAUUAGAUGAGCCUAGGUCGGAUUAGCUAGUUGGUGAGGUAAUGGCUCACCAAGGCGACGAUCCGUAACUGGUCUGAGAGGAUGAUCAGUCACACUGGAACUGAGACACGGUCCAGACUCCUACGGGAGGCAGCAGUGGGAAUAUUGGACAAUGGGACGAAAGCCUGAUCCAGCCAUGCCGCGUGUGUAGAAGAAGGUCUUCGGAUUGAAAGCUACUUUAAGGUUGGAGGUAAGGUUGUAACGUUAAGUACGUUGUACUAACGUUUGAACGUUACCGAACAAG